GUCUUUUUGAAAUAAAUUUAAAGUCUGACCUGCCCACUGAUAAUAUUAAAGGGCCGCGGUAUUUUGACCGUGCAAAGGUAGCAUAAUCAUUAGUUUUUUAAUUGAAAGCUUGUAUGAAUGGUUGGACGAAAUAUUUACUGUCUCAUAAAAAUUUAUAUUAGAAAUUAAUUUUUUUGUUAAAAAGCAAAAAUAAUAUUAGAGGACGAGAAGACCCUAUAGAGCUUUAUAAUUUUAUUAUUUAAUUUUUUAAGAAAAUUUUGAAUUUUAUAAAAAUAAUUAUUUUGUUGGGGUGACAGUAAAAUUUAUAAAACUUUUAUUAUAAUAUUACAUUGAUUAAUGAAUAUUUGAUCCAUUAUUAAUGAUUAAAAAAUUAAGUUACCUUAGGGAUAACAGCGUAAUUUUUUUUAAGAGUUCAUAUCGACAAAAAAGAUUGCGACCUCGAUGUUGGAUUAAGAAUUAUUUUUAGGUGUAGAAGUUUAAAGUUUAGGUCUGUUCGACCUUUGAAUUCUU
rnacentral:rRNA from 2 species